AACACCUCAGGAGCCUCUGACAAGCAGUGGGAGAGAAUCAGAUCCAGAGUCAUGUAUUGUGCAGGCUGUGUGUCUGAGUCCAAGUAACUUUUUCUGCUGUGUCAAACAACUUAAGGUGAAUGUCAUUACCAAGGUUCCCUCUCUUCCUGCUACUUGUUGGUAUUAUAAUGGCAGCAGUGGUAGGGAUGCUCUGGUUACACAGAGAAGAACCAAAGAUCAAG